AAUGUGCUUGUGAGUCAUCUGGGGAUUUUGUAAAAAAUGUAAAUUCUGAUUCAGCAGAUCUGGGUGGGGCCUAAGAUUCUGCAUUUCUAACAGGUUCCCAGGUGGUGCUGAUACUGCUGGCCUGAGGAUCACACUUUGAGUGGCAAUACUGUGAAGGCAGCAGUGUGGAUGGAAAACACUCCAGAGUUCAGAUUCCCUUCAAUGAAUAUAGUUUUCCUGCAGCUGGAACGGAAAGUAGCUUUGAGACAAAUGAAAGAUAUUACAGUAAAAUAGAAUGGAAAUGAGAGUAUAUAAAAGGCAAUGGAGAAAAUAAAUCAAAUUGAGUCACAAAAGACCAUAUCAGAUGUGGUUACCAACCUUGCAUCCCCAAAUGAGAGCAAUCCAAACAUCGGAAUACCGGGAAGCACAGAAGUG
rnacentral:lncRNA from 1 species